rnacentral:rRNA from 1 species
AGUGAACGCUGGCGGUAGGCCUAACACAUGCAAGUCGAACGGCAGCACAGUAAGAGCUUGCUCUUACGGGUGGCGAGUGGCGGACGGGUGAGGAAUAUAUCGGAAUCUACUUUUUCGUGGGGGAUAACGUAGGGAAACUUACGCUAAUACCGCAUACGACCUACGGGUGAAAGCAGGGGAUCUUCGGACCUUGCGCGAUUGAAUGAGCCGAUGUCGGAUUAGCUAGUUGGCGGGGUAAAGGCCCACCAAGGCGACGAUCCGUAGCUGGUCUGAGAGGAUGAUCAGCGACACUGGAACUGAGACACGGUCCAGACUCCUACGGGAGGCAGCAGUGGGGAAUAUUGGACAAUGGGCGCAAGCCUGAUCCAGCCAUACCGCGUGGGUGAAGAAGGCCUUCGGGUUGUAAAGCCCUUUUGUUGGGAAAGAAAAGUAGCAGGUUAAUACCCCGCUGUUCUGACGGUACCCAAAGAAUAAGCACCGGCUAACUUCGUG